rnacentral:tRNA from 1 species
GCAGUGGUGGCUCAGUGGUAGAAUUUUUGCCUUCCAUGCGGGUGACUUGGGUUCGAUGCCCAGCCAAUACG